UCUGCGUUUUUAAAAAAAAAACAUCGAGAGCUCUCCCUUUUUCUCUCGGUUUUUCCCACAUCUGACCCCGGCACCGACGAGCCUCCGCUGUGGCUGAAAAAUAAAAAUUGCUUGUAGUCCCUUUUCUAAAAAAAAAAUUUAAACCCAUAUCUAAAUAGAAUAUUUUUUGAAAUAAAAGAAAAACAAAAAAAAAAAAAACGCGAAGGAAAACCUUCAGCCUCGCUGCGUUCAUCAGACCCUCGUCGGGACCGUAAUGGGUUCUGAGAUAUUCGGGGUGUCGGAGGUGGUCCUUGACUGCGGCGGAAGGUGGAACGGCAUUAUUGGUGCAUGGUCAACGGCGAGAAAAGAGGCCUGCGCUGGCCAUUUUGGUGAAAUGGUGGCCAAGGAGCAUCAGGCUUCCGGACGAGGAGCGCUAACAUGGCCAAGGGCAGCGGCACAAAUGGGAUUAGGGUUUUUUAGUUUUACUAAGAGAUAAUUUUGGUUGUGGGCCUAUAAUUAAGUUUUAAGGUUUUGUAUCAGGCUAUAUUUUGGGCUUUAAUUUUUUAUAUUUAGGCAAUUAUUGUAAUUGGACUUUGGACUCUUAUUUAUUUAGUUCUAUUUAUUUUGUUA